UGUGCCCGCUUUGGCAGUAUGUAUACUAAAUUAAAAUUGGAACAAUACAGAGAAGAUUAACAUGGUCCCUGCACAAGGAUUAAACAAAUCUGUGAAGCAUUCAAUUAAAAA
ensembl:snRNA U6 U6 spliceosomal RNA